rnacentral:lncRNA from 1 species
GCCGGCCGUCCUUGCCCUCAUCUGCUGGAGACUCAGACACUAGCACGACCCCGGCUAGUGCCUUGUGACUCCAAGUACGAGUGGGUGCCGACGUCGUGGGGCCCGUGUGUGUCGACCGUUGGGCCCGACACACACUCACCCGUGGCAUGUGGGGGCGGGGUGCAGAAAAGACGGGUGUUCUGCGCACGGGUGCAAUACAAAGCACCCGUUGCUGACGCGCUCUGUGCACACGUCCAGCCUCCGCCAAUAUACCAGAGGUGCGAGAUCGGGUGUGAAAGAGACUGCCAGCUCGGCCCCUGGUCCGCGUGGGGGAUCUGCACCCCCGCCGACUGCUCCCUCAUGCCUCCC